AAUACGAGUUGUCUUAUCGCGCCAGCCUUCGGGCCGGUGAGGAAAGUCCGGGCAGCGCAGAGCGCCAUACUUCCUAACGGGAAGGCAGCCGACUGGCGACGGUCGGCUGACAGACAGGGCAACAGAAAAUAUACCGCCGAUUUUUAAUGGCGAAUGAAUGAAUGAGUGAAUGAGUGAAUAGCUCCGCGAGAACGUUACUGGACGCGCCAGCUAUUCACUCAUUCGCUCAUUCGCUCAUUCACUCAUUGAUUCUGGUAAGGGCGAACCGGUGGGGUAAGAGCCCACCGCCCGGCGGGUGACCGACGGGGCACGGUAACCCUUAUGGGCUGAAAGACCAAAUAAGCGUCGGACGCGCGGCUGCUCGUCGCCAGCAGCCUGGUUUCGGCCGGGUGAAAACCGACGCGGGUAGGUCGAACGAGGUGUCCGGGUGACUGGCAUCCCAGAUAAAUGAUAAGACGGCUGGCUUUACGGCUGGUCGACAGAACCCGGCUUAUAGACUCGUACUGCAU
rnacentral:RNase_P_RNA from 1 species